rnacentral:rRNA from 1 species
UGCGAACUCCUACGGGAGGCAGCAGUGGGGAAUUUUGGACAAUGGGGGCAACCCUGAUCCAGCAAUGCCGCGUGAGUGAAGAAGGCCUUCGGGUUGUAAAGCUCUUUUGUCAGGGAAGAAACGGUAGUAGCUAAUAUCUAUUACUAAUGACGGUACCUGAAGAAUAAGCACCGGCUAACUACGUGCCAGCAGCCGCGGUAAUACGUAGGGUGCAAGCGUUAAUCGGAAUUACUGGGCGUAAAGCGUGCGCAGGCGGUUGUGUAAGUCAGAUGUGAAAUCCCCGGGCUCAACCUGGGAAUUGCAUUAGAGACUGAACGGCUAGAGUGUGUCAGCGGGGGGUAGAAUUCCACGUGUAGCAGUGAACUGCGUAGAUAUGUGGAGGAAUACCGAUGGCGAAGGCAGCCCCCUGGGAUAAAACUGACGCUCAUGCAAGAAAGCGUGGGGCGCAAACAGGAUUAGAUACCCUUGUAGUCCAGAUG